rnacentral:rRNA from 1 species
AUUGAACGCUGGCGGCAGGCCUAACACAUGCAAGUCGAACGAGUGGCGGACGGGUGAGUAAUGUCUGGGAAACUGCCUGCUGGAGGGGGAUAACUACUGGAACCGGUAGCUAAUACCGCAUACCAUCGGAUGUGCCCAUAGGGGAUUAGCUAGGAGGUGGGGUAACGGCUCACCUAGGCGAAGAUCCCUACCUGGUCUGAGAGGAUGAACAGCCACACUGGAACUGAGACACGGUCCAGACUCCUACGGGAGGCAGCAGUGGGGAAUAUUGCACAAUGGGCGCAAGCCUGAUGCAGCCAUGCCGCGUGUAUGAAGCGGGCCUUCGGGUUGUAAAGUACUUUCAGCGGGGAGGCGUUACCCGCAGAAGAAGCACCGGCUAACUCCGUGCCAGCAGCCGCGGUAAUAC